UACGAAGGGGGGCUAGCGUUGCUCGGAAUUACUGGGCGUAAAGCGCACGUAGGCGGCUUUCUAAGUCGGGGGUGAAAUCCUGGAGCUCAACUCCAGAACUGCCUUCGAUACUGGAGAGCUCGAGUCCGGGAGAGGUGAGUGGAACUGCGAGUGUAGAGGUGAAAUUCGUAGAUAUUUCGCAAGAACACCAGUGGCGAAAGGCGGCUCACUGGCC
rnacentral:rRNA from 1 species